rnacentral:misc_RNA from 1 species
AACGAGGCCGACCUGCGGCUGAGUUACCUGCGGAAGGAUCAUUACCGAGUUUACAACUCCCAAACCCCUGUGAACAUACCUAUACGUUGCCUCGGCGGAUCAGCCCGCGCCCUGUAAAAAGGGACGGCCCGCCCGAGGACCCUAAACUCUGUUUUUAGUGGAACUUCUGAGUAAAACAAACAAAUAAAUCAAAACUUUCAACAACGGAUCU